rnacentral:rRNA from 1 species
UAGGGAAUCUUCCACAAUGGGCGAAAGCCUGAUGGAGCAACGCCGCGUGUGUGAUGAAGGGUUUCGGCUCGUAAAACACUGUUGUAAGAGAAGAAUGACAUUGAGAGUAACUGUUCAAUGUGUGACGGUAUCUUACCAGAAAGACGGCUAAAUACGUGCCAG